AUGUGCUUCUCAUCGAUUAGAAUAACCAUAUGAAGUUUAUAUACAAGAGCAAAAGAGAAAGAAGAAAGAGAACCAACAAGAAAAGCACAAUUGACAACUAAGCUAAUUGAUUAACAUAAUUAGCUAACUAAAUUCUAAAACUAGCCAACUAAUUUUAAAUAACAUUACAAGUAGCUAACUAUUUCAACUAACUGAUAGCUCUACUACAGGUUGCGAUCUUCUUCUUUUCAUCCUUUGCUUGAUACUCUCCCUUAAGUUGAGCAUAUAUAUUGCAAAUGUUCAACUUGCUCAAAAGAUACCUAAAUUUGAAAGGACGCAAUGGCUUUGUAAACAAAUCAGCUAGCUACUCACUUGACUUCAAAUACUCUGGUUUAACAACUCCUAGCAACACCUUGUAUUUGAUGAAGUGACAAUCUAUUUCAAUAAGCUUUGUUCUCUAAUGAAAAACAGGGUUCUUGGAGAUAUGUAUUGUAGACAUGCUAUCAGAAUUCAAGUACACAGGUUGAGGAACUUGAAUUCUAAAAUCUGAUAAUAAAGCAAUUAACCAUAAUAUUUCUGAAGUUGUAGCUUCCAUAAAUCUAUACUUUGCCUCUGCUGAGCUUCUUGAAACUGCGGAUUGCUUCUUGGGCUUCCAACUGAUCAAGGAUUGUCCAAGAAAAAUGUAAAAACUAGUCAACGAUCUCUUAGUUUCACAACAAUCUGCCCAGUCACUGUUUGAAUAUGCUGUCAACUUUAUUUCAAACUGCAAAGACAAGAAUAAGCCUUGACCUAGAGCAUUCUUUAGAUACUUGAGAACUUUUUGUGUUGCAUCUAAAUGUAUCUCAACUGGUUUAUCCAUAAACUGAGAUAAUACAUGAACUCCAUAGGCAAUAUCUAGCCUUGUCAAUAUAACAUACAUCAAUUUCCCAACUAUUUGUCUAUAAAGAAUUGGAUCUACAAGUAAUUUUUCUUCUACAUGCAUAAGUUUGAUAUUCAGUUCUACUGGAAUUGAGAUAGGCUUGGCCACAAGUAAUCCAUACUCUUCCAACAUUUCUAAAAUAAAUUUCCUAUAAGAAAUUACAAAGCUUUUAGUUGAUCUCGAAAUUUCAAGAAAAUAUUGCAAGUUCUCAAGAUCUUUCAACUUACAACAUGAACUCAAACUAACCCUUAAUUCAUCAAUCAACCCUUUAUUGCCAGUGCCAAUAAUGACGUCAUCAACAUAUACAAGAAGUGCAACAAACCCAUCCCCAUAUUACUUGGUGAACAAUGAGUAAUCAAAUUUAGAUUGAUAAAGCCAUUCAUUAAGUAAACUUUCCGUAAAUUUUAUAUUCCACUGCCUUGACGCCUGCUUCAGCCCAUAUAAAGACUUCUGAAGUUUGCAAACUAACUUUGAGCCAUCACCACCAUACUCCUCCAAAGGUAUAUAACCAGGAGGAAGAUCCAUGUAAAUUUCUUCAACAAGCUCCCAUUCAGAAAUCCCCAUUCAGAAAAGAAUUUUUAACAUCCAAUUAAGAUAGGUGCCAACUGAAAUGGCUACAAGAGCAAGAAAUGUCCUAACUGUAGUGUGCUUAGCAACAGGACUAAAAUUCUCUUAGUAAUCAAAUCCAACCCUCUAUGUGUACCUUUUGGCCACAAGUCUAGCCUUGUACCUAUCAAUGGUACCAUCAGAUUUAAACUUCACACUGUAAACCCAUUUACAACCCUCUGAUUUGGCACCUAUAGGCAAUUGAGUAAUAGUCCAAGUCGUAUUCUAUUCUAAAGCAUCAAGUUCAUCCUUCAUAGCCUGUUUCCAAUGAUCAAAUUGAACAGCAUGGUGAUAUGAAGUUGGCUCAAAAGUGAAAGAAAAAUUAAGAAUAAAAGACUUGUAAUGAGGAGACAAUCUAUCAUAGGAAAUGUAAUUUUUAAUAGGAUAAGAAGUAUGACAAGAUACAGAAGAUGGAAGAAUUUGACCUGAUUUCAAUUAUAAAUGAUAGGUAUGAAGAUGCACUGGUAAUCUAACUUGUCUAGUAGACCUUCUUAAGGCAGGAAUAGUAGAUAAGGUUCCAUUAAAGUAGGGACAAAAUAAGACAAAUCAGACACAUUAUGAUCACACAUGGUAUGUAGACUAGAAGUUGACCGAGAAAUAAGAGGAAAGGAAUUAGAAACAGAUAUAUUUAAUAAAGGAAAAAUAGAAACAGUUGGUAAAACUAAAUUUGGAACAAUAGAACUAGGUUGAGACAUAAGAGAAGAAGAUUGUUGAGAAAGGGAAGACACUUUCAUGAAAGACUACAUCUCUUGAAACAAAACAAGUCUUUGAAUCAUGUUCAUACAAAAGAUAACCCUUAAUAUCAAUUGGAUAACCAACAACGAGACACUUUUUGGCUUUAACAUCAAAUUUACUUCUAUGAGCAAUGAGAUUAGAGGCAAAACAUAGAUAACCAAAAGCUCUAAGAUGAGAAUAUGAAGGAGUUAUGUGAAAUAGAAGUUCAAAGGGUGAUUUAUUCUGAUAUUUGGCCAUGGGAAUUCUGUUGAUAAGAUAUGGAGAAGUGAGUAUAGCAAAACCGCAAAACAUGAGAGGAAGAUGAGAAUGAAACAAAAAAGCUUUGGCAACAUUAAGGAUGUGCUGGUAUUUCCUCUCAACAAUACUAUUGUGCUGAGGGGUAUACAGACAACUUGUUUGAUGCACAAAUGCCAUUAGAGGCAAAGAAUGAAUGUGAAAGGAAUUCAAUCCCAUUAUCAAUUCUAUCUGUUUGAUGGAAGCUUGAAACUGAGGCAACAUGUUUUUGAAAUUGAGGAACAAGAAAAUAGACUUCAUAUUUUGACUUCAUGAGAAAAGUCCAGACAUUUUCGGUAAAGUCAUCAACAAUAGUAAAAAAGAAAUGAUUUCCAUAAUAUCUUUUUGAGAAUAAGGGCCCUAUAUGUCCAUAUGCAUAAGCUCAAAAGGACCAGAAGUAUUAGGAAUAUGUUAGGGAGAAAAAAUAAUCUUCUUUGUUUUGCUUUUGGACAAGUAUCACAUGGAAAGGAAGAAUUUUUAGAGGAAAGGGAAAGCAAGGACUAUAAAGUAACUAGUCUAUCAUUAGGAGGAUGACCCAACCUGUGAUGCCAGGUUUCAAAAGAAACUGUAUUAGACUGAAAAGAAUGACAAAUACUUUGAUUAAUACUUUCUUGUGACAGGACAAAUAACCCAUCCUUGAUUUUUGCUAGACCAAUUGUCUCCCAUGAUGAAAGGGCCUGGAGAAAACAAUAGUGAGACAGAAUGAUGAAACAUACCUUUUUAGACAGAACUAACUUGCUCACUAACGAUAGACUAAAGGUGAACGAUGGAAUAAGCAAGACAUUAUGAAGAGGUGAACGAUGGAAUAAGCAAGACAUUAUGAAG
rnacentral:misc_RNA from 1 species